UGAAAUGGUAUUUGUUUGCAGGCUACCUGUU
rnacentral:piRNA from 1 species